AUACGUAGGGGGCGAGCGUUGUCCGGAAUUACUGGGCGUAAAGGGCGCGCAGGCGGAUAUUUAAGUCAGCUGUAAAAGGCAUGAGCUCAACUCAUGUAUGCGGUUGAAACUGGGUAUCUAGAGUGCUGGAGAGGUAGGCGGAAUUCCCGGUGUAGCGGGGAAAUGCGUAGAUAUCGGGAAGAACACCAGUGGCGAAGGCGGCUUACUGGCCAGCAACUGACGCUGAGGCGCGAAAGCCAGGGGAGCGAACGGGAUUAGAUACCCCGGUAGUCCUGGCCGUAAACGAUGAAUGCUAGGUGUGGGUGUCGAGAGGCAUCCGUGCCGGAGUUAACGCGAUAAGCAUUCCGCCUGGGGAGUACGAUCGCAAGAUUGAAACUCAAAGGAAUUGACGGGG
rnacentral:rRNA from 1 species